UAAAAGGGUCGGUUGGCUAAAUAUGCCACUCUCGCCUCCCAAUUGGUGAGUGCUGUAUGGCUAUCAAGACAUAUGGCCGACAUAAUUUGUGAAACCUCAAAGGGUUGGCUCGCUCGGCCGACCCUCCA
rnacentral:snRNA from 1 species